rnacentral:rRNA from 1 species
GACGAACGCUGGCGGCGUGCUUAACACAUGCAAGUCGAACGGAAAGGCCCUGCUUUUGUGGGGUGCUCGAGUGGCGAACGGGUGAGUAACACGUGAGUAACCUGCCCUUGUCUUUGGGAUAACUUCAGGAAACUGGGGCUAUUACCGGAUAGGAGCUCCUGCUGCAUGGUGGGGGUUGGAAAGUUUCGGCGGUUGGGGAUGGAUUCGCGGCUUAUCAGCUUGUUAGUGGGGUAGUGGCUUACCAAGGCUUUGACGGGUAGCCGGCCUGAGAGGGUGACCGGCCACAUGGGGACUGAGAGAGGGACCAGACUCCUACGGGAGGCAGCAGUGGGGAAUAUUGCACAAUGGGCGGAAGCCUGAUGCAGCAACGCCGCGUGCGGGAUGACGGCCUUCGGGUUGUAAACCGCUGUCGCCGGUGACGAAGCGUGAGUGACGGUAAUGGGUAAAGAAGCACCGGCUAACUACGUG